UAAAUAAAUAAAUAAAUAAAUGGCGUACAAAGAUGCUGUUGCUGGUGUACAGCCAUAUCCUCAGCCCAUCUCAGAGCUGCCUACCACAUCCGCAUGCCCACCUUUAUCUCUGCUUUGACUCUCCUCUUUUUCUAGUUGACGAAGCGAACCCUCAACCGUUUCAUGGGUUUUAUGAAUCUUUGUUUUCUUCCUCCUCCAAGAUAUUUUAGAUUUUACUUUUUGUUACCCAAAUACAAGCAUGCGAUGCUUCUAUUCUGUUGGGUUUGCUAAAGAAGAAAGAAACAAUGAUGCUCUUGCAUAUGUUAUCUAUCAGAUUUUUUACAUGUUUAUCAUGGCAAGCAUGCAAGACCAAAUUAUGCAACAUUUUUGGAGAGACAUAUUGAUAGGGAUCAAGUUAAACACAUCCACUUUGAUAAGGAGAUGAAGAUGAAGUUUAAGUCCCAUGUAUUUCAAUAUUAGUUUAGAUCGGGUUUAAUAAGCUUUAGCUAUCUUACAGUGUUGGGUAGAUUCUCAUAGAAUGCUUAUCAAUUGCUUGUAAUGUUGAUUUAUAUUCAGCCAUGUGGAAUAAAUAAUGUUUGAUUAGUUUAUUAACUUCUGUGAACCAUUUAAAACACAAGAUUUGAGCU